GUACUUCUGAGGAGUCCCACAAUAGGACGAAACGGCCGUUCAGUGC
rnacentral:hammerhead_ribozyme from 1 species